UGGGGAAUAUUGCACAAUGGGCGCAAGCCUGAUGCAGCCAUGCCGCUUGUGUGAAGAAGGCCUUCGGGUUGUAAAGCACUUUCAGCGGGGAGGAAGGCGAUAAGGUUAAUAACCUUGUCGAUUGACGUUACCCGCAGAAGAAGCACCGGCUAACUCCGUGCCAGCAGCCGCGGUAAUACGGAGGGUGCAAGCGUUAAUCGGAAUUACUGGGCGUAAAGCGCACGCAGGCGGUCUGUCAAGUCGGAUGUGAAAUCCCCGGGCUCAACCUGGGAACUGCAUUCGAAACUGGCAGGCUAGAGUCUUGUAGAGGGGGGUAGAAUUCCAGGUGUAGCGGUGAAAUGCGUAGAGAUCUGGAGGAAUACCGGUGGCGAAGGCGGCCCCCUGGACAAAGACUGACGCUCAGGUGCGAAAGCGUGGGGAGCAAACAGG
rnacentral:rRNA from 1 species